AUUGUAAGUAGGAAAGCCUUCCCCUAAAUAAAAAAUACAAAAAAUUUAAAGAAACUCUAUCAACCUAAACCCUCGAUCUCCGCGAAAAACCUCCAUCAGAGAAACCCACAAAAUACUCCAGAAAUCAAACCCGACCUCCAUUAGCGAAAACCUCCACCCACGAAAUAUUCUAGAAAUUGAAAUCUGAUCUCCAUCAACAAAUUGCUACGAAAGUUUCUGACACAAUCAGCACCACAAGAAGCCGCCGGCGACCCUCCAAAACCGUCUUCGGUUCAUGUUCAGUGGUCGAUACAUCAUUCACAGACUAAAAGAGUAAAUCAGUAGAUGUCGAAUGUGCGGACCAGUAUUCUUAUUUGAAACUCUACUCUUUAUGAACAAACCCAGAGCUUCCAACACCAAAAGAGUAAAUCAGUAGAUGUCCAAUGUGCGGACUAUUGAUUCUGCCUGUUCAUUUGGAUUGCAAAGGAGAUCAGAAUGUCAGAAUCUUUAAUUUCAUGGCUGAUGGGUCGUUAGACACUUUGCAUACCAAAGGCUCCUUGUGUGUACUAGGUGGACCCGCGAUGUGUUGGGCAUAUAGGACUCUAAUGAACAUGGACAAAGGAUCUCGGAAAACCAAGUUAACGUGGAAGGUGGUUGAGUGUCCUCGUUCUCAACAAGUUUGGGUAGUUGAGUCCGGCUAUUAUGUCAUGAAGUAUAUGGAUCAAACAGUAUCACUUGUAUCGAAAAAGGAGCGUGAUUUUUAAAAGCAUUUCGCUCCGGAGGCAUAUACUCAAGAAGUAAUCGAUGAUGUUCGUGAAAGAUGGUGUAGAUUUUUUAUUGAUAAUUGUUUAUAGUUAAUUAAUUUCAGUUUGACACUUAGUUGACAUAAACUUCUUAAAUUCGUGCCCAGUAUUUUCCUAAUAUGUAAAAAUACAAAAGUAUUAUGUAUGACUUUAGCUUUUAUCAAUUUUGGAGAUUAUAUUGCAGUGGUUUGAAUUUUUAUGUA